GGGGGGGGGGGGGGGGGGGGGUGGGGGGGGGGGGGGGGGGGGGAGGGGGGUGGGAGGGUGCUCUUACGGGGGGCGAGGGGGGGGGCGGUGGGGGCGACCUCGGAAUCUACAUUUUCGUGUGGGGUAACGUAGCGAGACUUCCGCUACUCCAGCAUACGACCUCGGUGUCAAAGCCGGGGAUCUUCGUCGGUUGCGCACUUUACUGGUCCGAUGUCGGAUUAGCUCGUUGGCUGGGUACAGGCCCACCAGGUCCUCGAUCCGUAGCUGGUCGGAGAGGAUGAUCAGCCAAACUGGAACGGAGACACGGUCCAGACUCCUACGGGAGGCAGCAGUGGGGAAUAUUGGACAAUGGGCGCAAGCCUGAGCCAGCCAUACCGCGUGGGUGAAGAAGGCCUUCGGGUUGUAAAGCCCUUUUGUUGGGAAAGAAAAGCAGCAGGUUAAUACCCCGCUGUUCUGACGGUACCCAAAGAAUAAGCACCGGCUAACUUCGUG
rnacentral:rRNA from 1 species